CGGAAUAUAAGAUGAUAGAGGCACAAUUGUACUGGCCGUUGGUACCUAAUGGACAGGUAUCCUUGAUUCAUUAGACUGAGUACUAUAGACUAAACUGUAAUAUUCCUAAUCUAGGAGACUAUAACAUAAGGACCGAUAAACAAUUAUAAUUAACUAAGGAGCCCCACCCAAUUCCUUCUUGAUCUCUAAUUCAAAUUGAGUCAUGUUAAUUCGUGACAAUUCCACUCCCCUUUAGAAAAUUCAUGGCAUCAAACAUCAAAUCUAGGAAACUGUGAUUUGAGGAAAUGAUAAUCCUCCCAUGUUGCUUCUUCUUUUGAAAGAUUUGCCCACUAGACAAGCACUUGGAUAUAUGCUUCGUUGCCUUUCUUAAUCAUUUUUCUUUCUAGAAUAGCUAUGGGCUAGGUUAAUAUUUGUCCUUUAUUGCAGCAGUAGGGAGGAUCCAUGGAAGUAACCACUUGAUCGCCAAUUUUCUUUUUUAGUUGCGACACAUGAAAGACGGAGUGAAUUUUUGAACCUACUGGCAGCUUGAGCUCAUAAGCGACAGCUCCAAUUCUUCGACUAACUUCAUAUGGACCAAACAAUCUUGCUGAUAACUUAUGGUUCUUCCAAACAGCCACAAACAUUUGCCGAUAAGGUUGAAGUUUGAGGUAGACCAUAUCUCCCACCUUGAAUUUCCUCGCGCUCCUUUUUGAAUAUGCAAAUUGUUUCAUGAGAUUCUGGGCUUCGACCAAAUUAUCCUUCAAUAUUCGAUCUAGUAAUUGUCUCUCUUUCAAUAUUUGAUCCACAGAUUCUACCUUUGAUUGUGUAAUAAGCUAGAAACUGGGAAGUGGAGGGUCAUAGCCAUAGAGGGCCUUGAAGGGUGUCAUGCCAAUAGACGAUUGGAAGUUUAUGUUGUACCAAUAUUCAGCCAUAGAAAUCUAUUUUCUCAAAUCCUUGGGCUUAUGACCAGUCAUCCAUCGUAGGUAAGUUUUAACACAUUAGUUUAGCCUCUCCGAUUGGCCAUCAGUUUGUGGAUGAUAAGCCGAACUUUGGCGUUGCUCUACUUGUAAUCCUUUGAACAUUUCCUUCCAAAACAAACUAGUGAAUGUGGGAUAUUUGUCGGAAAGGAUGGAUUUUGGGACCCCAUGUACCUUGCAAAUAUUAUCCAAGAAAAAUUGAGCUACUUGUGAAGCAUUAUAGGGAUGAGUUAGAGUAAAGAAAUGUGCAUACUUUUUGAAUCUGUCAAUAACCACCAGAAUUGUAUUCUUUCCAAAGGAAUUGGGCAAGCCUUCAAUAAAGUCCAUAAUCACAUGUUCCCAAGCUUUAGAUGGUACUGGUAGAGGAUGUUUACAUCCCGGGUAUGGUACAUGUUCAGCUUUGUUUCUCUGGCAGGUAUCACAAGCUUUGACCUUUUCCUUGAUAUCCUUCAUCACACGCGGCCAAACGAAAUUAGCUUUCACCCUUUUGCUGAGUACCCAAGAUCCCAGAAUGAUCCCCCUACGGGGUGCAAUACAUUUGCUCAAUUAUCUUGUCUCUGAUCUGGCCAUUAUUACCCACCCAUAAUUUUUCGUUCAUUCGUAUGACUCCCUUGAAGAAAGUGAUAUUUGGAAUAGUAGUUGAGUCCAGAGUUAAUUGUGUAAUCAACUUUUGGGCUUCUUGAUCCCCAUCAUAAUUGUCAAUUAGCUCGUGAACCCAUUUGGGCUGAACAACUGAUAGUCCGUAGCAUUCUGAUGGCCCAACCCCUUCAUUAUUGGGUUCAAAUUUUCUGGAUAAAGCGUCUGCCACAACGUUAUCAGCCCCUUUACGAAAUUGUAUUUCAUAGCUGAGGCAUAUAAGUUUGGAGAUGCUUAUGUUGCAAAGUUGUAGUCACCCUUUGAUACUUCAAGAAUAUGAGGCUGAAGUGGUCUGUCCGGAUAAUAAAAUGGUUGGGUGGAAGGUAAUGCUUCCAUUUGUCUACUGCCA
rnacentral:lncRNA from 1 species